rnacentral:misc_RNA from 1 species
AACGCACAUUGCGCUCUUUGGUAUUCCGGAGAGCAUGCCUGUUUGAGAAUCAGUAAAUUCAUCAACUCGCAGUUUUGGGGAUUUAUUCCUGGAGCUGGUCAGUUGGAUCUGGGCGACUUGCCACCUGUGGUGGCAACAGCCUGAAAUUGAAUGUUACGCUCCACUGGACUGAGAAGUCUUGGGCAAACGCAUGAAUGAGGCAACUCAGCAGUACGUAAGCCUUUGAGAUGAAUCAAUUCUUUGGUGUGUAGCCCAACUGAUUAUCCAGAGUUUGCCGGCGUCAGCCGGCUUAUUCUGAACACUUGGUCUCAAAUCAGGUAGGAAAACCCGCUGAACUUAA